GGAACUGUGCCUACGCAGGUCUGGCAGAGGGAAUGUUAAAACCUCGUAGAAGGACAGGGGAUUGGUUUUUGGACACGGGUUCGACUCCCGUCAGGUCCA
rnacentral:tRNA from 2 species